AAAUCUCAUUGCCCCACGGCAUAAAACCCAGGGUGAGAGGCUUUCUGGGGUCCCUCAGCUGAUACAAGUGGGGUAUGCAUGGAGGGCACUCCAUCUAUCCUGGAUGCCCUUGCAUCCAGGAGCCUUGCAGACUGGCUUACAAUUUCUUGAGCCUUGCAGACUGGCUUACAAUGUGUCACAGGCUUCUGUUGUCUUGCUGCCUAUCUGUAAGUAGUAAAAAGUCUCUUCAUGCAGCUUGUUGUAUGCACAGGUGUUUUCUCUCACUGGACUCAAACAAGUUGGUAACCAGCGCACAGUGAACCAGCUUCACAGCAAGAGGAGAAGGAAUUCCAGAGCUCAAAAUGGAAAAAGGAACAGAGUAAGAACAAUGGCUUCAGGAGGAAAAUGCAAUGAUAGAAGCUUUGAAAGAAAGACGACUAGAAUUCAGGUCAUAGUAGAUGAUGAUACCUGCCUGUCUGACCUUUGAGGAAGGGGAAUUUCUGAAACCUAAGGCUUCCUUGUAUUGCUCAAUUCAGUGAGAAAGAAAUCACUAAUCAUAGGUUUUGCUCUGUCACCCAGGCUGGAGCGCAGUGGCACAAACAGAGUACAUUGCUGUCUAUCUUCUGGACUCAAGUGAUCUUCCCUCCUCAGCCUUCUGAGUAGCUGGGACUACAGAUGCAGAUAGAAAUAUUAGUUUUAUGAGAAAUUAUUUCUUAAAGGAUGAAACAUUCCACAAAAUAUAUUUUAUCACAGACUAUGGGUAGAUUCCACUAGGAGAAAAGAGGAUCUAAAUGCCAGGCUCACCCCUCACAUUCUAUUCAACUGCACAGGAUAGAAUGAUGUGAAACAUUUUAUACUGAUAAUGACAGAAUACUCUGAACAUUGGAAGAAAGGAUUAGCCAGUAAGGAUACUACAACAUCAGGUUCUGCUGUGUUGCCCUGAGUCACCGAUUUGCUACAAAUAUUUGAGCCUCAGGCUUCUGUUGGCCUGGAAACUUAAAUACUUGAUGAAUCAGAGGAAACUUCAGGAUAACUGGGACCAGGAUUUCUGGGACAGUCUCUUUUCUUACGUGAAAACCUUCAGAGAUGUUCCUUAAAAUAAUAUUGGCCAAUAUUGUUAAGAAAACAACACAUUUGAAUGUUAAUAUUAAUUUUAUUUUUAAUCAUGUGACGAAUAAUUAAAUCUUGAAAUCACUUUUGGACUACUGACAAUUUUAUUAUCAAAACACUUGAAUGAGCUGAUGAUGCUUGUAAUUUUAAAUGAAGCCAGCACCUGAAGGCCUCAGAUAAAAUCUGUAUUUCUUCACUCUGUCCAAUGAUGGGUAGUAUACCAAAGUCACAAAGACAUUUUUCUGCGUCCAGAAAUAAAACAUUCUUCAUCACAUUGAUUUCUGGUGCUGCUUAUUUUGCACUUUUGAACUUGUAAUUUAAAUAGUUAUCACAUGUACAGAUAUAUACAGAGGUAUGCUAUAUAUAUAAAAUGCAUAUAAAGUAUUCCUAUUUUCUGAGGCAUUUUAACAAACACAAACAAAGACAAAGACAAUAUCAUCUCUCUACCAACAGUGAAUGGGCUUUCCCUGUAACUGGACAUACUGGUGUUCAGAUAUUUAAAAUAGGGAUUAAUGUUAGAUUGUUAAUACUUCAGCUGGGAUUUGAAAUACAGAUGCAUAUGAGAUGGAUUCUUUAUGACCUACCUACCAGGUUGAGCUCAGCUGGUUUUUUUGUUAUUGUUGUUGUUGCCAUGGGAAGGGUACAAAAGACAAUGGUAGGAUGAAAUCAGGGAGAUGAAGCUUAGGCCAUGUAAUAAUAACUAAGUACCUAUGAUAUAGAGUUGUUUCAACUAAAUAAGUUUGAAUGUAUUAAAACACUUUGGAGAAUGUUAACUAUUAUAGCCAAACAUAAUUAUUUCAUGUUUUACAAUUCUGUUUCUCUCUAUUUUAAUAUAAAUAUUGACCUAAUAAUCUGUGCAUGGCAGGAAUUCUUAUUUGAAAAAUUUGCAAAAUUUAAGGGGACUUUCUAAAAAGUUCUUGGAAGCCUUAUGGUUCUAAUUAUGCCCACUGAAUAGAAUGCAGUUUUCUAAAAAUUUUCUUUGGAGCAAUGCAGAUUUUAGUGAAUAAUAUGUUUUAGUGAAAAGUUUGAAGACUUUUUUAUUGAGAAACAAUAUUACAAAGGUAAAUAAAGACAUAUUCCUGGGCACCCUUAAAUAAAUAUAGUGGAAUAAAGUACAAGAUAAAAAUCUACUUAAACAUGUAAUUAGCUUGGCUAAUCUUUCUUCUCCCUAUUCUUUCUUCUCCCUAUUCUUUCCUUCCUAAUUGUUAUAAUAUUGACAAUGUUAUUUUUUCAUAAAUUUCUAUUAAAGCUUUUUUUCCCAUAUCAUAGAGAUAAUGGUCACAGAUGUUAGUAGUUCCUGAUUCCUUAUCUCUCCAAACUUUACCUUGAUAUUGUGAAUAAAUUUCACAGAAUUAAUUUCAGAAUAAAAAAGAAAAAAAUCAUAAUUUCUGGUCAUGUUUAUGCCUGUUUGUGGUUUGUAACCCCAUAAGUUGUCAAACUUUGUGUUCAGUUUACAGAUUUUGAAUACAAAUAAAAAAUUAC